rnacentral:misc_RNA from 1 species
GAUCAUUACCGAGUUUUCAACUCCCAAACCCUUUUGUGAACAUACCUAUCGUUGCUUCGGCGGACUCGCCCCAGCGUCCGGCCGGCCCCGCGCCGGCCGCGGCCUGGAUCCAGGCGGCCGCCGGAGACCCCCAAACUCUGUAUUCUCAGUAUCUUCUGAAUCCGCCGCAAGGCAAAACAAAUGAAUCAAAACUUUCAACAACGGAUCUCUUGGUUCUGGCAUCGAUGAAGAACGCAGCGAAAUGCGAUAAGUAAUGUGAAUUGCAGAAUUCAGUGAAUCAUCGAAUCUUUGAACGCACAUUGCGCCCGCCAGCAUUCUGGCGGGCAUGCCUGUUCGAGCGUCAUUUCAACCCUCGACUUCCCUUUGGGGAAAUCGGCGUUGGGGACCGGCCGUAUACCGCCGGCCCCGAAAUGAAGUGGCGGCCCGUCCGCGGCGACCUCUGCGUAGUAAUCCAACUCGCACCGGAACCCCGACGUGGCCACGCCGUAAAACCCCCGACUUCUGAACGUUGACCUCGGAUCAGGUAGGA